GAUCCUGGCUCAGGAUGAACGCUAGCUACAGGCUUAACACAUGCAAGUCGAGGGGCAGCAUGAACUUAGCUUGCUAAGUUUGAUGGCGACCGGCGCACGGGUGAGUAACACGUAUCCAACCUUCCGUUUACUCAGGGAUAGCCUUUCGAAGAAAGAUUAAUACCUGAUAGUAUGGUGAGAUUGCAUGAUAGCACCAUUAAAGAAUUUAUUGGUUAAACGGAAUGGGGAGUGCGUUCC
rnacentral:rRNA from 1 species